GUCGAGGGGUAACAGGGAGCUUGCUCCGCUGACGACCGGCGCACGGGUGCGCACCGCGUAUGGAACCUGCCUUUUACAGGGGAAUAGCCCAGGGAAACUUGGAUUAAUGCCCCGUGGCACCACGGCCCGGCAUCGGGAUGUGGUUAAAGCCUUCGGGCGGUAGAAGAUGGCCAUGCGUCCCAUUAGCUGGAUGGUAAGGUAACGGCUUACCAUGGCUACGAUGGGUAGGGGCCCUGAGAGGGGGAUCCCCCACACUGGUACUGAGACACGGACCAGACUCCUACGGGAGGCAGCAGUGAGGAAUAUUGGACAAUGGGCGAGGGCCUGAUCCAGCCAUGCCGCGUGCAGGAAGAAUGCCCUAUGGGUAGUAAACUGCUUUUAUACGGGAAGAAAAAGGGGCACGUGUGCCCCACUGACGGUACCGUAAGAAUAAGGACCGGCUAACUCCGUGCCAGCAGCCGCGGUAAUACGGAGGGUCCGAGCGUUAUCCGGAAUUAUUGGGUUUAAAGGGUCCGUAGGCGGGCCGGUAAGUCAGGGGUGAAAGUCUGUAGCUCAACUAUAGAAUUGCCUUUGAUACUGCCGGUCUUGAGUUAUGGUGAAGUUGCCGGAAUAUGUGGUGUAGCGGUGAAAUGCAUAGAUAUCACAUAGAACACCGAUUGCGAAGGCAGGUGACUAACCAUAUACUGACGCUGAUGGACGAAAGCGUGGGGAGCGAACAGGAUUAGAUACCCUGGUAGUCCACGCCGUAAACGAUGGAUACUAGCUGUCCGGGUCCUUGAGGCCUGGGCGGCCAAGCGAAA
rnacentral:rRNA from 1 species